rnacentral:rRNA from 1 species
AUUGAACGCUGGCGGAAUGCUUUACACAUGCAAGUCGAACGGCAGCACGGACUUCGGUCUGGUGGCGAGUGGCGAACGGGUGAGCAAUGUAUCGGAACGUGCCCAGUCGUGGGGGAUAACGUAGUGAAAAUUACGCGAAUACCGCAUACGAUCUAUGGAUGAAAGCGGGGGAUCGCAAGACCUCGCGCGAUUGGAGCGGCCGAUAUCAGAUUAGGUAGUGGGUGGGGUAAAGGCCCACCAAGACAACGAUCUGUAGCUGGUGUGAGAGGACGACCAGCCACACUGGAACUGAGACACGGUCCAGACUCCUACGGGAGGCAGCAGUGGGGAAUUUUGGACAAUGGGCGAAAGCCUGAUCCAGCCAUUCCGCGUGCAGGAUGAAGGCCCUCGGGUUGUAAACUGCUUUUGUACAGAACGAAAAGGUUUCUACUAAUACUAGGAGCUCAUGACGGUACUGUAAGAAUAAGCACCGGCUAACUACGUGCCAGCAGCCGCGGUAA